GCCGGAAUGGUGGAAUAGGCAGACACGGAGGUCUCAAACACCUCUGCCUGAAAGGGCUUGUGGGUUCGAGUCCCACUUCCGGCA
rnacentral:tRNA from 1 species